GCUGCCAGAACACAGGUGUCGUGAAAACCACCGCUAAACCUAAUCCAAAAUGGGAAAGGAAAAGACUCAUAUCAACAUCGUCGUCAUUGGACACGUAGAUUCGGGCAAGUCUACCACUACUGGCCAUCUGAUCUACAAAUGUGGUGGGAUCGACAAAAGAACUAUUGAAAAAUUUGAGAAGGAGGCUGCUGAGAUGGGAAAGGGCUCCUUCAAGUAUGCUGGGUCUUGGAUAAACUGAAAGCCGAACGUGAACGUGGUAUCACCAUUGAUAUCUCCCUGUGGAAAUUCGAGACCAGCAAGUACUAUGUGACCAUCAUUGAUGCCCCAGGACACAGAGACUUUAUCAAAAAUAUGAUUACAGGCACAUCUCAGGCUGACUGUGCUGUCCUGAUCGUUGCUGCUGGUGUUGGCGAAUUUGAAGCAGGUAUCUCCAAGAAUGGGCAGACCCGUGAGCAUGCCCUUCUGGCUUAUACACUGGGUGUAAAACAGCUUAUUGUUGGUGUUAACAAAAUGGAUUCCACUGAGCCACCCUACAGCCAGAAGAGAUACGAGGAAAUCGUUAAGGAAGUCAGCACCUACAUUAAGAAAAUUGGCUACAACCCUGACACAGUAGCAUUUGUGCCAAUUUCUGGUUGGAAUGGUGACAACAUGCUGGAGCCAAGUGCUAACAUGCCUUGGUUCAAGGGAUGGAAAGUCACCCGUAAAGAUGGCAAUGCCAGUGGAACCACACUGCUUGAAGCUCUGGAUUGCAUUCUGCCACCAACUCGUCCAACUGACAAGCCCUUGCGUCUGCCCCUCCAGGAUGUCUACAAAAUUGGUGGUAUUGGUACGGUCCCUGUGGGUCGAGUGGAGACUGGUGUUCUCAAGCCUGGCAUGGUGGUCACUUUUGCUCCAGUCAACGUUACAACUGAAGUAAAGUCUGUUGAAAUGCACCAUGAAGCUUUGAGUGAGGCUCUUCCUGGGGACAAUGUGGGCUUCAAUGUCAAGAACGUAUCUGUCAAAGAUGUUCGUCGUGGCAAUGUGGCUGGUGAUAGCAAAAAUGACCCACCAAUGGAAGCAGCUGGCUUCACAGCUCAGGUGAUUAUCCUGAACCAUCCAGGCCAAAUCAGUGCCGGCUAUGCACCUGUGCUGGACUGUCACACAGCUCACAUCGCCUGCAAGUUUGCUGAGCUGAAGGAGAAGAUUGACCGUCGUUCUGGAAAGAAGCUGGAAGAUGGUCCCAAGUUCUUGAAAUCUGGUGAUGCUGCCAUCGUUGAUAUGGUUCCUGGCAAGCCCAUGUGUGUUGAAAGCUUCUCUGACUAUCCUCCUCUGGGCCACUUUGCUGUUCGUGACAUGAGACAGACGGUUGCUGUGGGUGUCAUCAAAGCAGUGGACAAGAAGGCAGCUGGAGCUGGCAAGGUCACCAAGUCUUCCCAGAAAGCUCAGAAGGCUAAAUGAAUAUUAUCCCCAAUACCUGCCACCCCAGUCUUAAUCAGUGGUGGAAAAACAGUCUCAGAACUGUUUGUGUCAAUUGGACAUUUAAGUUUAAUAGUAAAAGAAUGGUUAAUGAUAACAAUGCAUCAAAAAACCUUCAGAAGGAAAGGAGAAUGUUUUGUGGAC